GGCCGACUAGCUCAGUUGGUUAGAGCGUCGUGCUAAUAUCCCCCCAGUUUUCGGUGAAUUAACGCGAAGGUCUUGGGUUCGAUCCCCACGUUGGCCA
rnacentral:tRNA from 1 species